GACGAACGCUGGCGGCGUGCUUAACACAUGCAAGUCGAACGGUGAAGCGCUUUCCUUUUUGGUUGGUGUGGAUGAGUGGCGAACGGGUGAGUAACACGUGAGUAACCUGCCCCCUUCUUCUGGAUAACCGCAUGAAAGUGUGGCUAAUACGGGAUAUUCUGCGCCUGCUGCAUGGUGGGUGUGGGAAAGAUUGUGCCUUUGGGUGUUUUCGGUGGGGGAUGGGCUCGCGGCCUAUCAGCUUGUUGGUGGGGUGAUGGCCUACCAAGGCGGUGACGGGUAGCCGGCCUGGGAGGGUGGACGGUCACACUGGGACUGAGACACGGCCCAGACUCCUACGGGAGGCAGCCGUGGGGAAUAUUGCACAAUGGGCGCAAGCCUGAUGCAGCGACGCCGCGUGAGGGAUGGAGGCCUUCGGGUUGUGAACCUCUUUCGCCAGUGAAGCAGGCCUGCUCCUUGUGGGUGGGUUGACGGUAGCUGGAUAAGAAGCGCCGGCUAACUACGUG
rnacentral:rRNA from 1 species